GACAAGCAUAGUCGCCUUUUGUGGCAAGCAUGGGUUGCUGAAGACAUAUUCUACCCCGGAUCCUCACGGGUCUGUCAUAUGUAGUGUUGCAUAUAGUGAAUGCAUAUUGAAUACUUGCUCAUGAUAACCCAAUAACAUAAUUUGAACAAAUGACAAUUUUGUGGAUGAAAUAGAAAGAAAAACUUUAUUGCUGUCAGCGGGGCGGUGGGGUAGCCUAGUGGUUAAGGCGUUCGCUCGUCACGCCGAACACCCGGGUUCGAUUCACCACAUGGGCACAAUGUCGGCGUAAAAGUAAACUCAUUCAUUAUUGCUGUCAGCACGUUAUGUACAGUCUUAAAUGAAACCCAUGCGCUUCGUCUUCCGAGAAGCAAAUUGCUCAAUGACAAGGUCUGUGUUUACUGUCUCUGUGGACAUUGAUAGUGCAAGUGAUGACAUACGGACAUCCCCCAUUGUACGUCUUGAUUCUGCUCAUUGCUUGAUGCUGAUGUCACGGGCAUAGUGGUGAAUUGCCGAAAACGUUAAGUGUAGGCACGUCCCUAAAGUGCCUGUUAAAUGGUUUGCAAUAUGACAACGCCAUUGCAGUUUUGAAUUUAGUAUUAGUAUUGUUUCGUUGUUUAUAUUUGAGUGGAUGUGAACGGUGGGUAGGACAUUGUAUUUUUGUAAUAAUCCGAACAUCUUCAAGUUUAAGUUCCUCAUGGUGACAGACAAUGAUACACUAAUGCUCAAAGUAUGUAAACAUAUGUCUCAUAGCCUUAAAAGAAGGCAAACAUUAUUGAAUGUGUAACUAUUCUAAAUAUUAUGUAUGAUAUACCUAUUGCAAUGAACAUGUAUAUUGGCCAACGGUCUAAAGACGUGAAUAAACACACUUGGCUUGA